rnacentral:rRNA from 1 species
UACGUAGGGGGCUAGCGUUGUCCGGAAUCAUUGGGCGUAAAGCGCGUGUAGGCGGCCCGGUAAGUCUGCUGUGAAAGUCCAGGGCUCAACCCUGGAAAGCCGGUGGAUACUGUCGGACUAGAGUGCGGAAGAGGCGAGUGGAAUUCCCGGUGUAGCGGUGAAAUGCGCAGAUAUCGGGAGGAACACCAAUUGCGAAGGCAGCUCGCUGGGACGUUACUGACGCUGAGACGCGAAAGCGUGGGGAGCAAACAGG